rnacentral:rRNA from 1 species
AGUGAACGCUGGCGGCAGGCCUAAUACAUGCAAGUCGAACGGCAGCACAGUGGAGCUUGCUCCAUGGGUGGCGAGUGGCGGACGGGUGAGGAAUACAUGGGAAUCUGCCCAGUCGUGGGGGAUAACGUAGGGAAACUUACGCUAAUACCGCAUGCGCCCUUCGGGGGAAAGCCGGGGACCUUCGGGCCUGGCGCGUUUGGAUGAGCCCAUGUUCGAUUAGCUAGUUGGCGGGGUAAAGGCCCACCAAGGCGACGAUCGAUAGCUGGUCUGAGAGGAUGAUCAGCCACACUGGGACUGAGACACGGCCCAGACUCCUACGGGAGGUAGCAGUAGGGAAUAUUGGACAAUGGGCGCAAGCCUGAUCCAGCCAUGCCGCGUGAGUGAAGAAGGCCCUCGGGUUGUAAAGCUCUUUUGUCCGGGAAGAAAAGCAUCGGGCUAAUACCUCGGUGUUCUGACGGUACCGGAAGAAUAAGCACCGGCUAACUUCGUG